rnacentral:rRNA from 1 species
UACGAAGGGGGCUAGCGUUGUUCGGAGUUACUGGGCGUAAAGGGCGCGUAGGCGGCCCUCCAAGUCGGGCGUGAAAGCCCACGGCUCAACCGUGGAAUUGCGCUCGAGACUGAAGGGCUCGAGGACGGGAGAGGAUGGUGGAAUUCCCAGUGUAGAGGUGAAAUUCGUAGAUAUUGGGAAGAACACCGGUGGCGAAGGCGGCCAUCUGGACCGUAUCUGACGCUGAGGCGCGAAAGCGUGGGGAGCGAACAGGA